rnacentral:lncRNA from 1 species
UGAUAGUGAGUGAGUUCUCACGAGAUCUGCUGGUUUAAAAGUGUGUAGCACCUCUCCCUUCACUCUCUUUCUCCUGUUUGGCCGUGUACCAAGUUCCUGCCUGUCUUCUGUCUUCACCCGUGACUUGCCUCAAGUAGUUGGCUCCUUUCCCACCGGCUACUUUGUAACUGCGAAUAUGACAACAUGACGGUGAUUCACAGAUGCCAAAAUAUGACGAGCAGAGCAAAUCUGUGUUCCAGAUAUGAUAAGGUCCCAUCUUCUUAGGAAGUUUUAAACAACUGUCAAAAGUAUGCACAAUCAAAAUCAAGAAUCAAAUCU